ACGGUAACAGGUCUUCGGAUGCUGACGAGUGGCGGACGGGUGAGUAACGCGUAGGAAUCUGCCCAUCUGUGGGGGAUACCAGUUGGAAACGACUGUUAAUACCGCAUAAUAUCUGCGGAUUAAAGGUGGCCUUUGCGCUGCCGCAGAUGGAUGAGCCUGCGUUGGAUUAGCUAGUUGGUGGGGUAAGGGCCUACCAAGGCUACGAUCCAUAGCUGAUUUGAGAGGAUGAUCAGCCACAUUGGGACUGAGACACGGCCCAAACUCCUACGGGAGGCAGCAGUGGGGAAUAUUGGACAAUGGGGGAAACCCUGAUCCAGCAAUGCCAUGUGUGUGAAGAAGGCUCUAGGGUUGUAAAGCACUUUAGUUGGGGAGGAAAGCCUGUGAGUUAAUAGCUUGCAGGAAGGACGUUGCCCAAAGAAUAAGGACCG
rnacentral:rRNA from 1 species